UCUGGUCAGUGAUGAUGAUUUAUAUGUAAUUGCCUGAUACAUCCAUGAGGGCAAUUCUAGUCACUACCUCAUCUGAGACCUGU
rnacentral:snoRNA from 1 species